rnacentral:rRNA from 1 species
AGUGAACGCUGGCGGUAGGCCUAACACAUGCAAGUCGAACGGCAGCACAGUAAGAGCUUGCUCUUACGGGUGGCGAGUGGCGGACGGGUGAGGAAUACAUCGGAAUCUACUUUUUCGUGGGGGAUAACGUAGGGAAACUUACGCUAAUACCGCAUACGACCUACGGGUGAAAGCAGGGGAUCUUCGGACCUUGCGCGAUUGAAUGAGCCGAUGUCGGAUUAGCUAGUUGGCGGGGUAAAGGCCCACCAAGGCGACGAUCCGUAGCUGGUCUGAGAGGAUGAUCAGCCACACUGGAACUGAGACACGGUCCAGCCUCCUACGGGAGGCAGCAGUGGGGAAUAUUGGACAAUGGGCGCAAGCCUGAUCCAGCCAUACCGCGUGGGUGAAGAAGGCUUUCGGGUUUUAAAGCCCUUUUGUUGGGAAAGAAAAGCAGCAGGUUAAUACCCCGCUGUUCUGACGGUACCCAAAGAAUAAGCACCGGCUAACUUCGUG